ACAGAUAAUUGCGUUGAUACAAUG
rnacentral:siRNA from 1 species